rfam:Candidatus Brocadia fulgida BROFTL_contig000121, whole genome shotgun sequence.
CCGUGCUAGAUGGGGAGCUAGCGGUUCCUUGUAACCUGCAACCCGCUAUAGCAGGAUCAAUCGCUUUUUCGAGGACCCACAGAUCAUGAGCCUUGCCGAUGUAAGGGGUGAUGAAGGCCGGACCUCAUGCAAUAAGAGAUUGUGCGAACCUGGUCAGGUGCGGAAGCAAGCAGCCAUAAGCAUAUAUCCUUAUGUGCCGUGAGUCAGUCUGGUCUGAGCCUACUGCAUAGGCAAACCCAUGGGAAUGGGAACGAAAAAAAGUGCACGG